rnacentral:rRNA from 1 species
UACGGAGGGUGCGAGCGUUGUCCGGAAUCAUUGGGCGUAAAGGGCGCGUAGGUGGCCCGGUGAGUCUUUGGUGAAAGUCCGGGGCUCAACCCCGGAUCGGCCGUGCGAACUGGGGGACUCGAGCACUGUAGAGGCGGGUGGAAUUCCGGGUGUAGCGGUGGAAUGCGUAGAGAUUCGGAAGAACACCAGUGGCGAAGGCGGCCCGCUGGGCAGUGGCUGACGCUGAGGCGCGACAGCGUGGGGAGCAAACAGG